AGCGUAGACGGCUGUGUAAGUCUGAAGUGAAAGCCCGGGGCUCAACCCCGGGACUGCUUUGGAAACUAUGCAGCUAGAGUGUCGGAGAGGUAAGUGGAAUUCCCAGUGUAGCGGUGAAAUGCGUAGAUAUUGGGAGGAACACCAGUGGCGAAGGCGGCUUACUGGACGAUGACUGACGUUGAGGCUCGAAAGCGUGGGGAAGCAAACA
rnacentral:rRNA from 1 species